CAGUCGCCGCGGUAAUACGUAGGGUGCAAGCGUUAAUCGGAAUUACUGGGCGUAAAGCGUGCGCAGGCGGUUAUAUAAGUCAGAUGUGAAAUCCCCGGGCUCAACCUGGGAACUGCAUUUGAGACUGUAUGGCUAGAGUGUGUCAGAGGGGGGUAGAAUUCCACGUGUAGCAGUGAAAUGCGUAGAGAUGUGGAGGAACACCGAUGGCGAAGGCAGCCCCCUGGGCCAAUACUGACGCUCAUGCACGAAAGCGUGGGGAGCAAACAGGAUUAGAUACCCCCGUAGUCCCUGUCUCUUAUAU
rnacentral:rRNA from 1 species